AGAGUUUGAUCAUGGCUCAGGAUGAACGCUGGCGGCGCGCCUAACACAUGCAAGUCGAACGGUUAAAGCACCUCCGGGUGUGCAUAGAGUGGCGAACGGCUGAGUAACACGUGGGCAACCUGCCCCCCUCAUCGGGAUAGCCUCGGGAAACCGUGGGUAAUACCGAAUACUCCGGCACCCCCGCAUGGGGGAGCCGGGAAAGCUCCGGCGGAGGGGGAUGGGCCCGCGGCCUGUUAGCUUGUUGGCGGGGUAACGGCCCACCAAGGCGAUUAUGGGUAGCCGGGUUGAGAGACCGACCGGCCAGAUUGGGACUGAGACACGGCCCAGACUCCUACGGGAGGCAGCAGUGGGGAAUCUUGCACAAUGGGCGAAAGCCUGAUGCAGCGACGCCGCGUGCGGGACGAAGGCCUUCGGGUUGUAAACCGCUUUCAGCAGGGACGAGGCCGCAAGGUGACGGUACCUGCAGAAGAAGCCCCGGCUAACUACGUGCCAGCCGCUGC
rnacentral:rRNA from 1 species